GCCCCGAAAGCUUACCUGUCUAAGCUCUGGUCUUGUAAACCAGCGACGAAGGGUUAGACUCCCUUUCGAGGCU
rnacentral:tRNA from 1 species